AUCAUCAACUAACGGGCCAACCUUUAACUAGCUUUUUUUGAAGGCUAUCAUGCAGAACUGAAACCGCAUAAGUGAUGAUGCGUACAUAGAAGCAUUAUGCGCUAUAUAGUGUAGUGAUUAAGCUUUAUACUUUUUCGCUUGCAUACGUAAAGAGUAAACAAAUUCAGGCAAACGUCAGUAAGAAUAGCGCUCUUAUUGACGUUU
rnacentral:ncRNA from 1 species